CUGCAACUGAAUGGUGACUAGAUU
rnacentral:piRNA from 1 species